rnacentral:lncRNA from 1 species
ACUGCUGGCAUUAAUAAAUUUUUGAAAUAUGAGAGGUCUCUAGCUAUUUUAUUAUUUCGAUAACUGUGAGAUCAUUAUUGAGCUAUCAUUUCGAAAAGAUAAUUCGGCAUCCAGAAAAUCCGGACGAUUUGAUUCUGAUUAAUAGAUCUUAGCCACGUGUCCAAAUACCAUUGGUUCUGUGUCGUUCAUGCGGAUAACAGUGAGGUGGCAUGAUCUGAAAGCAGGUGCAUGAACUGUCUGACCAACGAUCGAUCUUGAUGUCCUCAUGUAUUGACAUCUGAAGAGAUCCUGGUUUAACUGAUUUCAUCCGGACCGUUGAGGGGUCCUAUUUAUAUAAAGUCACUUUCAUCCAAGCUUUACUUUUGCAUU